UUCGCAAUGCCCGAAAGGGUGACGAAGCGACGCCGCGUGGGUGAGGAAGGCCUUCGGGUUGUAAAGCCCUGUCAGGAGUUAAGAAAUGUAGACUCGCUAAUAUCGGGUCUAUUUGACAAAGGCUCCAAAGGAAGCCACGGCUAACUCUGUGCCAGCAGCCGCGGUAAUACAGAGGUGGCGAGCGUUGUUCGGUAUUAUUGGGCGUAAAGAGCACGUAGGUGGUUCUGUAAGUCAGAUGUGAAAGCCUUCUGUUCAAAGGAAGAACGGCAUCUGAAACUACAGAUCUUGAGUGUAGGAGGGGAGAGUGGAACUUCUGGUGGAGCGGUGAAAUGCGUAGAUAUCAGAAGGAACGUCGGCGGCGAAAGCGACUCUCUGGCCUAUUACUGACACUGAGGUGCGGAAGUUAGGGGAGCAAACGGGAUUAGAUACCCCGGUAGUCCUAACUGUAAACGAUGGGCACUAAGUAGAGGGGUUUU
rnacentral:rRNA from 1 species